UCAUGGCAGGAAGAAGCGAGAGUCAUUCAGGAAAAAAUGAAGAGCCUUAUGGAGAGGAGAAGGGUGACUCAUCAAGCAUGAAGAAUUUGCGUGCUAGGAUGCUCCUAGGAAAAGCCUUGACAAUCGUCAAGGGAGCAAGUAAGUCUAAGAAAAAAUUUAAAAAAAUCAUGCGUGAAGCAGAAAAGUUUCAUUCCUUCGAUGGGCUCCAAGCUGACGAUGAUGCAACGGAUUCAAACAAGGAUUUCAAAUGAGAAAUGAAGAUGAAGGUCUUGUAAAUGGGGAGAUGAAACCAAGUCAACGGGCCAAAAAAUUGUGACUCUCCAAUCAAGAUCGAUGCAUAUGGAGUCAGACUGUUUCAUGCAAACACAUGAAUAUAAAUUGGUCUGCAUAGGACUUGUGUUUGAAUAAUAGAAAUGUUUGUGCUCUAAUCUGAGCUAUGAUUUUCACAGUGUAAAGAGGUGUUAUGCCAGCAAUACAAUUCA